rnacentral:rRNA from 1 species
UACGUAGGUGGCAAGCGUUGUCCGGAAUUAUUGGGCGUAAAGCGCGCGCAGGCGGUCCUUUAAGUCUGAUGUGAAAGCCGACGGCUCAACCGUGGAGGGUCAUUGGAAACUGGGGGACUUGAGUGCAGAAGAGGAAAGCGGAAUUCCACGUGUAGCGGUGAAAUGCGUAGAGAUGUGGAGGAACACCAGUGGCGAAGGCGGCUUUCUGGUCUGUAACUGACGCUGAGGCGCGAAAGCGUGGGGAGCAAACAGG